rnacentral:rRNA from 1 species
ACUACGGGAGGCAGCAGUGGGGGAUAUUGCACAAUGGGGGCAACCCUGAUGCAGCGACGCCGCGUGAGCGAUGGAGUACUUCGGUAUGUAAAGCUCUGUCAGCAGGGAAGAGAAUGACGGUACCUGACCAAGAAGCCCCGGCUAAAUACGUGCCAGCAGCCGCGGUAAUACGUAUGGGGCAAGCGUUAUCCGGAUUUACUGGGUGUAAAGGGAGCGUAGGGGGCAGGGAGAGCCGGAUGUGGAAGCCCGGGGCUCAACCCCGGGACUGCAUUGGGAACUGCCCCGCUCGAGUUCCGGAGGGGGAGGGGGAAAUACGAGGGGAGCGGUGAAAUGCGUAGAUAAUAGGAGGGACACCAGUGGCGAAGGC